rnacentral:rRNA from 1 species
UACGUAGGGUGCAAGCGUUGUCCGGAUUUAUUGGGCGUAAAGAGCUCGUAGGCGGCUUAGCAAGUCGGAAGUUAAAACAAGAGGCUCAACCUCUUGUCGCUUUCGAUACUGCUAUGGCUUGAGUCUGGUAGGGGAUGACGGAAUUCCACGUGUAGCGGUGAAAUGCGCAGAUAUGUGGAGGAACACCGGUGGCGAAGGCGGUCAUCUGGGCCAGUACUGACGCUGAGGAGCGAAAGCGUGGGGAGCGAACAGG